rnacentral:rRNA from 1 species
UACGGAGGGGACGAGUGUUACUCAUAAUGACUGGGCGUAAAGGGUAUGUAGGUGGUUUAUUUAGUUAAAUAGUAAAAGAAUAGAUUAAAAGUUUAUAGGACUAUUUAAAAGGUUUAGACUAGAGUAUAGGAGAGGAGAGUGGAAUUCCUGGUGUAGCGGUGAAAUGCGCAGAUAUCAGGAGGAACACCAAUUGCGAAGGCAGCUCGCUGGGACGUUACUGACGCUGAGACGCGAAAGCGUGGGGAGCAAACAGG